rnacentral:rRNA from 1 species
AGUGAACGCUGGCGGCAGGCCUAACACAUGCAAGUCGAGCGGCAGCGGGGUCCCCGCGAGGGGAUGCCGGCGAGCGGCGGACGGGUGAGGAACACAUCGGAAUCUGCCUGGUUGUGGGGGAUAACGUAGGGAAACUUACGCUAAUACCGCAUGCGACCCUGAGUCGACGGACUGGGGGUGAAAGUGAGGGACCUUCGGGCCUCACGCGACCAGAUGAGCCGAUGUCGGAUUAGCUAGUUGGCGGGGUAACGGCCCGCCAAGGCGACGAUCCGUAGCUGGUCUGAGAGGAUGAUCAGCCACACUGGGACUGAGACACGGCCCAGACUCCUACGGGAGGCAGCAGUGGGGAAUCUUGGACAAUGGGCGCAAGCCUGAUCCAGCCAUG